rnacentral:sRNA from 1 species
AAGGGGACAAGAUAAAAAUCUGCUCGUGCUUGCACGAUGAGAUUUUUUAGCUUAGGACCCGUCAAACAUGAGAAAGUAGCGAUUUACAUAGUAAAUCAGCAGAUUUCGAAUGUUUGUAGAAGUGCGAGAGUUGCUUUGCAACGAAGCAAUUCGUAGGCA